ensembl:rRNA 5S_rRNA 5S ribosomal RNA
GUCUACGGCCAUACCAGCCUGAAUGCGCUUGAUCGUGUCUGAUCUUGGAAGCUAAGCAGGGUCAGGCCUGGUUAGUACUUAGGUGGGAGACCGAAGUGGAGAGGUUGGUACUGCAGACU